UACGAGGGGGGCGAGCGUUGUUCGGAAUUAUUGGGCGUAAAGGGUGCGUAGGCGGUUUGGUAAGUCUGAUGUGAAAUCUAUGGGGCUCAACUCAUAGUCUGCAUCGGAAACUGCUGGGCUAGAGUCCGGAAGAGGCGAGUGGAAUUCCUGGUGUAGCGGUGAAAAUGCGCAGAUAUCAGGAGGGAACACCGAUGGCGAAAGGCAGCUCGCUGGGGACGGUACUGACGCUGAGGCGCGAAAAGCGUGGGGGGAGCAAAACAGG
rnacentral:rRNA from 1 species